UUCCUCUCAAGUCUGUGCGACCACAUUGUUUAGUUCACUUGGUUUAACUUUCAGUGAGUUCAGUUAUUAAGGUUCUCCCCCAAACUUAGACCAAGCAUGGGACAGAGAUUGUUGGAUUGUACUGGCCACUAGUUUCCUGGAUCCCCAUGUGGUUUAGUCUCACAGGAGCCAUGAAAUGCUCCUGAUGGAGAUGCAUGACGACCAGUUGGUGUUAUUCAUGUUUGUGUGUCAUCGGAAUGUUUCAAAAGUGCCAUCUCUGGCAGCACCACCAGGGUUGGAGAAGGCCCUACUUUGCAGUGGGCAUUAGUAACAAUUUCACAGUUCAGUCACUACAACAGCCUGUCCAAGAUGACAAUGAAGGAUAAUGGCGAUGAUGGAAGUUGUCACCCAUUCCCACAAAAUAUUCCAGCAGACACCAUGGAACAAUGACACAGACCACAGUGUGGCAAACGCACAGGAUGCAAUCAGGAAGAUCUGGACAAACUGAAAUGGCAAACAAAUAGGUUGGCUGGGAAACCGAGGUCCCACAACGCGACAGCCAUCUCUAUUGACUGCUUGCCUCCAUCUCUCCAGGAUUUAUCAAUCCACUGAGAUCAUCCUGCACCAGCAUCUAGGAUAGUAAGAACUGAUAUCUGUAAAGCCAUGCCCAAAUUAAAUAAGCAAACCAACAGUGAAUCUGACCUGCUACCUAUACUAUCAGCCCAGGCCACUACCAUCGAAGAGACGUCAUUUACUGACACCAAGAUGGAACAUUUUGAAAGCUUUGUUUGCGAAACACUGAAUGAAUUCUGACAAAGACAAAUGGAGUUACGUAACUGCAUCUAGAAACUUGAAUGAAACGUCAACAAAUCCAUCAAGUUUCAGAUUGAACACAUUGAUUCAAUGAAUCAUCAAAGAUGACAGGUCUUGACUCGUUGGCAACAUGAAUGGCUGAGAGGGAGAACGUAAUGGCAAAUCACUCAGUCCUGAUUAACAAAUUUGAGAGAUUUCCCUGGAGAAAUAACCUAAUGGAUGUCCGCCUUCCCAACAAAAGGGUGAAGACUGUCUGUUCUUGACUAAAAAUAUGCUGACGGAGAAGUUCAACAUGCCGGAUGCUAAGUUGGAGAGAGUGCAGCGGUGGGAAACUACAACAUUUCCUGAUAAGUUGAGCUGCUACCAGGACAAAAUCAAAAUCCUGCAGCAACAACGGAGAACAUUUUCAGCUGACCCCUGCUGCUGUAUGGAGGACCUCACCAGAAUCAACCUUGACGAGAAGAGGAGAUGGUCAUUGUGGAAGCAGCGUACUAGGAAGGGAGAAAAUAUCAGUUUAUGGCGGGUACAUGGAGAGGCCCUGGAGGUUCAUUAGCCACUUUCUCCACUAAACCUCUUUUUUGGCAAGCUAUCACCAGGGCUUAUCAAUUUACCUUCAUUCUAAGCAUUAUAUUUUUAGAUAUUAUAUCAUUGCAGCCUCCUAUUUUCUCAUUCUGUACAGCGUUUUGUUUUUCACAUGACUCAAACAAUUACUUGCAUGUAUUAUAAAUUAAUCAAUUAAUUGAUUUAUUAAUUAAUUGAUUAAUGAAUAAAUAAAUUGAUUAAUCAAUUAAUUACUUAAUUAAGAUUAAGUAGUUAACUUAAUUGAAGAAUGAACCCCUUUUGAUAGUUUGGUUUUUCUUCAUGCAUAAAUUGUCUGUUUCUAUGGUACGCAUGUCAUUGUUUGGCUCGAGUUAAUUUUCCUACCUAAGGCACUUUGACUUUGAAUUGCGGUCUUCCUCUUGCUUCCCUACAGUUUAUGUAAUACUUUUUCUUUUCUCUGUCAAUUUCAUUUUAAAACACGCCCUCUUUUGUUCCUGCUCGGAGCGGAUAACAGUAUCCUUUCUCUUUUUACAGAUACGUGUAUUUAUGACCACCACUUCCGCCCAAUUUCAAAAUGUAUUAGUAAGAACAAAAUGGAGCAGCCUUGGAUUGCCCCAUCCAUUGCAAGCUGUUGCAAUCACAAGAUAUUCAGGUGAUAUCCAUCAUAAGCCAAUAAGCGUAUACCGCUUAUCGUAACCGACUGACUGCUAAAACCCCGCUACGAUAACCAACAUGACAAAGACUUGGCGUGAGAUAAUCGAGACUCUUGGCAAGGGGAGAAAGGCAGACAUCCCAGAAAACUGCUCUGAUGGAAAAGAGGCCUUCAAGUCCUUCGUUAUCGCAAAAUUCCUUCGGCUUUCACUCUACUGCAAUCGGCCCAUCUCUUGACAAGAUCUCACUUCAUGAAUUACCUGCACAAUUUAAGCACAACUUUUUCCUCAUUUUGUCUUUCACCAACUGAUGCUCUUGAAGUAAUUGAGAUUGCUAAAAAGUUGAGCGGUACUACAAGUCCAGGAUUUGAUGGAAUUUCCUUGUCUGUUGUCAAAUCAACUAUCCCUCAUAUUUUCUCAUCCGCUCACCCAUUUUUUUAAUCUUUCCCUUUCUAGUGGCUUCAUUGCAUCUAAAUUUAAAGUUGCUCGGGUGAUACCCUUUUUUAGAAUGAUGAUUCUCAUCCAUAAUCAUCUUCCGAAAUCAGUCCUUCCUUGCCUCUCCUAUAAAUUUCUCGAAAGAAUUGUCUACAGCCGACUGCAAAUUUCUUUCCAAUGUCCUUCUCUUUCCCUAUCAAUUUGGUUUUUGUUCCGGAUAUUCUAUGGACAUGAUACUUAUUCACCUUACUGAUAGUAUUUCAGCUGGUAUUUAGCUGUCAUUUUUGUGGAUCUUUCCAUAAACUUUAAUACCUUUAGUAUGAUAUUUGUUAUUUCUAAGCUCUGUUUCUAUGGCGUCAGGGGUUGCGCCCUUGAUUAGUUUAAGAGUUUCAUGUACCUUGAAUGGAGAUGUCAGUUCACCAUUUUCCACAGGUGUAAGUCGUCCAGGAAACCCAUCAGCCAUAGAAUGCCUCAAGGAUCUAUUCUCGGACCUUUACUCCUUCUUCUGUAUUUGCUGACGACACUAACAUCACCUUGUCUAGCUCUACUUUCGCACCUUGGUUGAUGCAGCGAACUACAAACUGACUUAACUCACUUCUGGGUUCAAGGCGAACAAGCUUUCCCUCAAUGCAGGCAAAACGAAAUUUAUGUUGUUCAGCAAAUCCAAUUCCCUUCUUGCUCUCACUGUUCUUGUUUGCACUGAUGGAGAUCCCAUUUUGCAGGUCCACUCAGUGAAGUUUCUUGGAGUCAUCGUCAACGACAAACUGACAUGGCACAAACAUAUCUCUUCUCUCUUUAAAAUUGUUUCUAAAAACACUGGUGUUCAGUCUUAACUUCAGACUUUUCUUCCACCCUCCAUCUUAGUCUCUAUCAACAAUACGUUCAUCCUUCUUACCUCGGCUAUUGCGGCAUCGUCCGGGCGCACUCUAGUAAUAGCCAACUGUACUCUCCAGCCAUUAGAGUAUGCAUUAGAAUAUACACCUGACAUUUCUGUGAUAAUACAGCACCUCUUCUUGCACAACCUAAUACACUGAAGCCCUCACAGGCAUUCACAAACUCCGAACGGGACUCUUCAUGUACCAGUCUACUAAUAACCUUCUUCCACAGGUAUUCACUUCCUACUUUCUGUUUACAAGUACAUAUACGUUGCCACAGUAUACGACCAUCAAACAAUCUCUAUGUUCCCUCCACUUGCACAUCCUACUCCAUGAACAUAAUGCAAUUUUGGGGCCGCAUCUCUGAAAUGGCAUUAUCAGGAUGGUGAAAACACAGUCGUCAGUGGGCUGCUUUAAGAAAUCCUUUAAAGUGGAUGUGAUCUUCCAUUACGUAGCAUAGCUCCUCUUUUUGUUGCUAUACUGAGCAUUUAUCUUUUUCAUUUUUGCGUUUUGUUCCCAUUGGUUGCUUAGUAGGCAUUGUCAUUAUCACAUCCAGUCAGUUUUUAAUUUCAUUUCUGCUUGUUCACCAUUUCUGUUUCCUGUUGUUGAUUCUGGCAUGGCAACAUAUGAGCCUUUGGCUUCUGCCUCUGCCACCAUACAUGUGCUUGUUACUUGACAAUCACUUUGUGUGAUCUACUGUUGACUUACUAGUACUUUCUUUUUUGUAGUUUUCAGCAAUAUGGAAGUAAAUGUGUUUAUAAAUGAAAAAAAGGCUGCUGGAAUUGAAAUGCAACAUCUGGCACAGAACUUGUUCAAGCCAAACUCUGCUUCACUGGAGAGAUAUGCACAUGUAUCUUGCUUCCCACUGUCCAUUACUUCAUUGCUGAUGAUGUCAUCCUCUGAGGAAUCCAUGUCCAGGGUAGCUGAGCUGGAUAAAGAUUGGCUGCUAUUUAUGGUGACUGCUGCAUCAUCAGAGUUGGUACUUACAGGAAGAUUGGUUGAUGGUUCAUCACAAGGUUGGAUUUCAGUGAUGGUUACUCGGUUACUGUCAUUUGUGCAGUCAAGGCGAGUCAGCUUUCUCUCAACUUCAUCUUGAGACGAUGUGAUGUUGGUGCAACUCCCCGAGGAUGAGAAACUGAGAGUAUCAAGCUGGUACUCGGUCAUGGCUCGGUGUCAGAAAGAAGGAUUUGCAGAAGACACUUAUGUGUGUAAAUCCUCGGGCAAGAUGUUUAUCAGCCUCAUUCAUCUUGGUCUUGUCAAUCUCAGCCGAAGAUAUAGUUGGUAUGUCCUCAUUUCUUGUGGAGGAACUGCUUGGAAUGGUGUGAUAUUCAGGCCUCUCCUCCAAUACUGACUGCAAGACUAUGAGACACAUACAUGUACAUGUAAGUCUUUAUAACGGCAAUGAUUUCGGUCUCCUCAACCUUAUAAUUCUCACUAACAUUCUUUUAUUUAGAGCAUAAUCCUGCCAACUACUUUCUCACUCUGAAGAAGAAAGAUUUGUAAUAUUUAGAACAUUGAAAAAUUCAAUAAACCGUGAAAACACUUUACAAAAGCAAAUGUACAUUGACCAUAUAAAUAUUUCGAAAAAAAAGAAAAGAAACCCACACAUACAUACAUGUAACAUGACACAGACUACAAAAAGGCACGACAUAUGGGAAAUUCGGGCACAGUUUGUGACGGCGUCCCUUGUUACAUCGGUAACUUUUAUUGCCCAUUAUUUUCACAUUACA